rnacentral:rRNA from 1 species
UGGGGAAUUUUGGACAGUGGACGCAAGUCUGAUCCAGCCAUGCCGCGUGCGGGAAGAAGGCCUUCGGGUUGUAAACCGCUUUUGUCAGGGAAGAAACGAGUUUCUCUAAUACAGAGACUUAAUGACGGUACCUGAAGAAUAAGCACCGGCUAACUACGUGCCAGCAGCCGCGGUAAUACGUAGGGUGCAAGCGUUAAUCGGAAUUACUGGGCGUAAAGCGUGCGCAGGCGGUUAUAUAAGACAGAUGUGAAAUCCCCGGGCUCAACCUGGGAACUGCAUUUGCGACUGUAUAGCUAGAGUACGGCAGAGGGGGAUGGAAUUCCGCGUGUAGCAGUGAAAUGCGUAGAUAUGCGGAGGAACACCGAUGGCGAAGGCAAUCCCCUGGGCCUGUACUGACGCUCAUGCACGAAAGCGUGGGGAGCAAACA